GACGAACGCUGGCGGCGUGCUUAACACAUGCAAGUCGAGCGGUAAGGCCUUUCGGGGUACCCGAGCGGCGAAUGGGUGAGUAAAACGUGGGUGAUCUGCCCUGCACUUCGGGAUAAGCCUGGGAAACUGGGUCUAAUACUGGACAUGACAUCCUAUCGUCUGGUGGGUGGUGGCCAGAUUUGUCGGUGCAGGAUGGGCGCGCGGCCUAUCAGCUUGUUGGGGGGGUAAUGGCCUACCAAGGCGACGACGCGCAGCCGACCUGCUAUGGUAACCGGCCAAGCUAGAACUGAAACGAGACCCGGACUCCUACGGGAGGCAGCGGUGGAGAGUAUUACACUGUAGGCUGGGGCCUAGUGCAACGCCGCCACGUGGCGGGUGACGGCCAUCGCGUUGUAUUCCACUGUCAGCAGAGACGGGACGCAAAUGACAGUACCUGCAGAAGAAGCUCCGGCUAACUACGUG
rnacentral:rRNA from 1 species